CCUACGGGAGGCAGCAGUGAGGAAUAUUGGUCAAUGGACGAGAGUCUGAACCAGCCAAGUAGCGUGAAGGAUGACUGCCCUAUGGGCUGUAAACUUCUUUUAUAUGGGAAUAAAAUGUUCCACGUGUGGGAUUUUGUCUGUACCAUAUGCAUAAGGAUCGACUAACUCCGUGCCAGCAGCCGCGGUAAUACGGAGGAUCCGAGCGUUAUCCGUGUUUAUUGGGUUUAAAGGGAGCGUAGGGGGAUUGUUAAGGCAGUUGUGAAAGUUUGCGGCUCAAACGUAAGAUUGCAUUUGAAACUGGCAGUCUUGAGUACAGGAGAGGUGAGCGGAAUUCGUGGUGUAGCGGUGAAAUGCUUAGAUAUCUCGAAGAACUCCGAUUGCGAAGGCAGCUCACUGGACUGCAACUGACACUGAGGCUCGAAAGUGUGGGUAGCAAACAGGAUUAGAUACCCGAGUAGUC
rnacentral:rRNA from 1 species